rnacentral:lncRNA from 1 species
GGUCAUUGGCUCCGAACUUCUGUUCUGCUCGUCUCACUCUCCUUCCCUGCUCCAGCCAGUCAGUCACCAGUUCUGCUGCUUGCAUCCUCGGGCCCCUCACACUGAUGCACUGUUCGUGCUCCAGACUGUGACACCGCUCCUGAGCCUCACCUGCUCCCCCAGACAUUAGUUUGGCUUCAGUGCAGAGUGGACGAUCAAGCUGGCCAGGGAUCGAACUCAAGACCUUGCGCUUGUGAUGCAGGCGGCAGAACUGAGCCACAUCCCCGACUCCCACUGGAUUUGCACUGCACCUCAAAGAGACACUCACAGAAGAGGGCUGCAGAGCUGCUGCAGGGAGGCAGACCCGCUGAGGAUCAGAGGCAGCGGGAGGGAAAAGAGGGAAAGAGAAGCGAAAUGAUGAAGACGCGGUCCAUGUGUGUGCCGGCUCUGCACCGCAGAGGAAUUCGCUGUGCGCCACGAAUGUGUAGGGCGAAGAAUAUGGCAAGAAUUCUACGGCAGCAUUUGGAAGGUAUUAAUGACUACAUGUGCUUCAUUUUGAUAAAUGUUAUAAUCUUCAGCGGGAGAGGCCUCCCUAAUACAGUGGAGCAGGGCGGAGUUCACACUGCAUUUCUGCUACCAGCGAGGGCACAGCUGUGCAGCAUCCGCUCAGCCCUGGCAGCUGUGGUUCACGUGAAACCUCCUGAAGCCAAGACCCAGAGCACAAUCAGUACGGAAGCAGAUGCGUCACUGCUGGCCGCGUGGGGAGCUGGGCUCACCCGACCACGGACCCUCCGGUCUGAGAUCUCUGGUGUUCCGCUCCUCCUGGGCUACAGAUUCCUCAAGGGGCGCUGGGGGCUGCCAGGCGCUGUUCCUGCUGUGCACCGCUCUGUGUAUUUUCCUGAGCGGCUGGGGACGAAAGGACAAAGGUGUGUCCUACGCUGCCGUCUUGGUAGCAUCUGAUGGAUGGACCAGAGAAGCUGAUGGAGGAGCGGAGAGGAGCGGGUUGUUCGGAAACAACACGGUGUAGAGGAGGACGAAACAGAACAGAGGGCAGAGGUGGCAGGAAGAUCUCCUAACCAAAAGGAGAAAUUGCUAAGGAUGAAAGCAUUUCUGCAUUGCCUGUUGGAUGAUAAGAAAGUUGAGGAUGAUCAACAAGGCAAUAAGAGAGAUGGAAGGAUGCUAAGGAGCGGAGAAUAAAACAAGUAUGAAAAAGCCAGAAGAGAAGUACAAGUUCUUCCUUAUGAUCCCAAGUAUUUGUUAUUUUUAAAAUGUAUGUUAUUUGCCACCAACUACAGUCUGAGAGAAAAAACGAAAAAUACAACUGGGUAUAAUAAAAACACUUGAAAUUCACUGCUUCUUGAAGCCCUUGCCACAAAUCUUUAAAUAUAGUGUGCCACCAUUUUUAACUUUGUUUUAACCACAGUUAUAACAGAUGAAUACAGUUAUAAAUUCCAAAGAAAUUUUGCCAAGGUGA